CCUACGGGUGGCUGCAGUGAGGAAUAUUGGUCAAUGGGCGAGAGCCUGAACCAGCCAAGUAGCGUGAAGGAUGACGGCCCUACGGGUUGUAAACUUCUUUUGUCAGGGAGCAAUUGAGUCCACGUGUGGUCUUUUCGAGAGAACCUGUAGAAAAAGCCUCGGCUAACUCCGUGCCAGCAGCCGCGGUACUAGGGAGGACGCGAGCGUUAUCCGGAUUUUUUGGGUUAAAGGGGGGGGUAGGCGGAGUAUCAAGUCAGCGGUAAAGAUUCGGGGCUCAACCCCGUCGUGCCGUUGAAACUGGUGUUCUUGAGUGGACGAGAAGUAGGCGGAAUGCGUGGUGUAGCGGUGAAAUGCAUAGAUAUCACGCAGAACUCCGAUUGCGAAGGCAGCAUACCGGCGCCCAACUGACGCUGAUGCACGAAAGCGUGGGUAUCGAACAGGAUUAGAUACCCGAGUAGUC
rnacentral:rRNA from 1 species